ensembl:lncRNA
GCAGCGGCAGGCAGCGCCAGCAGCCCGGCCCGGCCUCCACCUGGCUCCUUCCAGAGCCCCGAGUGAUGCUGCAGUGCUGCGUGAUGUCAGCGUGCCCUCUGCUUUCUUUUAUUUUCCUUCGUUUAACCCAAAGAUCUGGGGCCUGUGGCGUAACAGUUUAAAAACGGCGAGGUUUUUCUUCUUCUUCCUCCUUGCACGGAGUGUCUUUGCCUGUUUCUCUCUUUCCAUUUGGUACUCCAUGAGUUCUAAGAAAUUAGCAGAAUAUAAGGAGGCGGAAGGCUGCUGUCUGCUCUGUGCAAUACAACGCAUCACGUUCAGGAGCACGUACACCACAAAAGCAUGUUUUAAAGGCAAGGCAGCUGAAGUUGCGCUGUUUCAAACCACACGUGUUGCUCCCACAUCACAGUUUUCACUGAUCUUCAUGGUCGAGGAGAUGUGUUUGGCCAUCCUGAAUAGGUAGGGCAGCACUGGGACUAAAACCUUUUUUUUUUUUUUCCCCUGGGUUAUAUGAUGUGUUUCAAUCCUGGCAGCCUACGGCAGCCCGUCGUGUGUGGAGGUGGUGGCUGAGGAGCACACCAUGGGAAAACAGCCCGGAGGCACAGUCGGAAUGGUAGGGUCACACUGUAUCGCUGCAGUCGAUAGCGCUGCUCAGAUUUCACCUAUCGAUCGUUGUAGUUAAUCCGUAUUACCGAGCGCUGUAUGAACCAGGCAUAACGGCAAUGCCUGGAUAGAAGAUCCGCUUGUCUUACGGAUUUUGUGUUACCUCGGGUCUUAUUUGUCCCUGAUCCAUUUAAAGAUACAGUUUGUAUAAAAUAAACAUCGGUCUCCGAAUAUCUCAGUCUUUGCCGUUCUCCUGUUCAACUCUCAAGUGUUUCAGGAGCUGCGGUUGCUGCCUUACGCAGAACAGACAGCAGCACUGCAGGAGUACAGAAUGCUCCAACCUCUCGUGAGGGGAGCAGCGUGGGGGGAAUCGGAGCAACGUUUCACGCAGGGAUUUGGAGCAGGGAGCGCUGUGUUGGUGACCUCCCGUCCCGUGCUUCCCUUUUGCUUUUUUAUUUUGUUUGUUUGUUUUUUGUUUUGUUUUUAAUAUAUAUAUUUUUACUUUGCUUUCUUGCCUUCACAGCAGCGCUUUCCCCAUAGGUGUGCCGUGACUCCCCGAACCACGCACGCUGCCGGCUCAGCGCAGGGAGCGAGGCGGGGCCUGGCCCAUGGGCAGAGGCCGUGCCCGGGCCGUGAUCAUCGCUGCUGCCACCCCCUCAGCUCUUGGCCGCGUCCGAGGGCUCGGGGCCUCAUUCCGGGCACAUCGCGGUUAAACCGUCGGGGACCGAGGUUUUAUUUGUGCCCGCCUCGGAGCGCGACUCCGAGCUGUUGCAAAGGGCCAGACCCGGAGUAAAAGCACUUGGGGCAGUCGGACGGCGCUAUAAGGGCUCUCGUCCCGCCGGCGGCUCUUCUCAGGGACUGCUCUGCAGAUGCCCCGGCCGCGGUGAUCGGGGCUCACUGCAAUACCGCAUCUGCACCGCUCGCGGGGAACGAACGGGCGCUCUCAGCGCGCCGCAAAGCGCAGCCACCGCCGCGCGAACAGCGCCUACCGUCGCCUUGCGUUUCUGGCAGCGUAGCUUUGCUCUUAUGCUUUAACUUUCACGCCCCGCACCUCCAGGGUUCGCAUCUGUUUAUGUCAUCUCUGGAGCGUGGGGCAGGGAGCUGAGAAACGCAGCGAAGUCGGAGAGAGCUUCUCGUUGGUUAACGCCGGUCUUUAAGGUUAGGCUGCUAAGCCCCUGGUUAGGCCCCUGCUGGAAGGCUGCCUGCCCUCCCGCCGGGCCGCGUCUCGCACCGCGCGAGCAGUGGGGGAGCGCUGUGCGGGAGCGGGGCUGGCAGCCCAGCGUAGCGCUGCUCUGCGCUGUGUUGGCUGCCUCUGUUCCAGUGCCCUCCCGCUCUCCUUGUAACAGUGCACGUUAUACCCUCGGUAAGUAGAGGGUGGCUGGAAAUCGCAAUGGAGUUUCAAAUAAAUAAUAAUUUUCACGGCGCGCUGGUGAUUAAAUAUCACGGGUCAUUAACGCAGCUAAUGGGUCGUUGAUAAAACAAUUUAUCUGCGGCAUGAGUGAAAGCGGAAUAUUUCGGGGUGCUAAUUCCCUUGGAGCCUCUUUCCCCUCCCCUGGAUGAGCGGACCCACCGUCCCGCUGCCCCCGGCGGUAGCCGAGCUCCCCGCGAGAAGCGCAGCCCCGGAGGUUGGCGGAGAGGUCGGGAGGGUGCAGGUCUCGUCCCUGCGGCUGAGGUACCGCCCCGCUCUGUGCGAUUAGGGCUGAGCGGAGAGAGGGAAAGGAAAGCGGCUCUUUGUGGAAGCACCCAGCAGUCGUUCCCCCAGGGCCGCGUCCUGUUCCCGUAUAUGCCUGCACGAGUUUGGUCACUUUAUGCGCCCGUCAUCUUGUGCAGUGUUUUUUUCUUCUGGAAAUCCUACUGGAUGGUAAUAAGCACGGGCACAAAGCGAGGAAUGAAAGAAAAGUCCGAAUUAUGUGUGUGUAUAUAUAUAUAAAGUACUUGUAAGUAAAAAUACCGAAUUCUUCUUUUGCGAAAUCUCUGUUGUGAGAAAAGUUCAUUCGAAAUCAAUUAUUUCUGUUUAAAGAAAAUGAAUGACUACCGCAGUGUUGUUACCUACAGUGCUUCCUUCUCCAACUCUUGAGGUCAUACUUGGAGCAAUGCGCACACCCCGAUCGCGUACCGCUGCCCGGGUUUCAACAACUGCGGUGACGACCGACACUUCGUAUCCCUGAACUACACAAAUCGCAACGGAUUGGGAUUGUUACGGACGCGUCGCGCUGCGCUUCGCAGCGUGGGGAGAUCGGCUCCCCCUCCCUCUCCCUCUCCCCCCUAUUUGGCGUUCGGCUGCCAAUCCUCCGGCACCUACGGGCUUCCCCGAGAGGCAGCGACACUUUCAUAGAAUCACAGAAUCGUAGAAUCGCUAAGGUUGGAAAAGACCCACAGCAUCAUCCAGUCCAACCAUUCGCCCUUCACCAAUGGUUCUCGCUAAACCGUGUCCCUCAAGAGCUGGCUCUGUUACUUCCCAGACAUUUUUGGAUAAACUCCGGUGUGGUCUCGUAAUUAGUUCUGUAUUUAUAUGUUUAUGAUUUCCAACCGCUCGCUGAAGAGCAGCCCGUGAUAGCCGCACGUUUCCAGUCUAUAACUUUGAUCCGCUUCCCGGCGGGAGCUGUCAUCUCUAUUUCUUUCCCCGCAUUUUUCAGCCGCCUCCCAAUACUCCGCUUCCCUCCCUCAAGAAAGGGCGCUCAGCAAAGCGGGGACGCUGCUUUAGGAAACACUAACGCGAAGUACCAGCACAUUUGCUGCUGAUCUCCAGCUCUUAAUCUAUUGCCCAAAUAACAUCCCACGUUAUCUCCAGGACACGCGUUCGCUCUUCUGUCUCUUCCUGUGUCCCAUUAAUAGGACAAGCCCGCCUGCAUGCGACCCUUUCUACAUGUACUCAGCGACGGUGUGCUUUGGCUGGCUGAAGAGCAGCCCGCUGGGGACCCCGGAAUAGCAGAGCAGUGUCUCUGUGCAGCGGGCCAGGUGUGCGGUGCCGCCCGCGCGGUGAUAGCAGCAUUCUGCUGGCUCGUAUGAGAGAAAUCGUGUCCGUAUGUGGUAUUCUGUUUUUCUUUCCCUGCGUAAUGUGUCUCUGGAAGAAGUCUCAGCAUUUCAGCCGCCAACUUUAUCCUUAGGUGAGAUUGCAACCCGCCGCCCGCUGUCUCCGCGGGAGAAUGCCGGGCGGGACGCGUACGAGCAGGGCGACCUGAAGCCCCCCGGGCAGCACCGCAGCGACCCGGGGCCGCCACCGCCCGGCGCUUCUGCCUGCUGCACGACCGGCCGCUUUUGGAGGUGCUGGGAAGGGGCGGGAGACGGCUGCGAGAGAGGAGCUGCGGAGCUACUUCGAUGCACUCCACUCUACUGACAUCACUGCUUUUUUAUUUUUCCUUUUCCUUUCCCCCUCCCUUUUCUCUCUUUUCAUCCUUUUCUUUCUUUUUCUUUUUAUUAUUAUUAUUAUUAAUUAAUAUUAUAAUUAAUAAUAAUAAUAAUGAACGUAAUGCAUAUCCCGAGCUGGUACCUAAAACGAUAACCCUGCAGUUUGCUCUCCCGUUUCGGCAGUUCGUAGGUAGGCGUUUGUGCGUGUGCUGCUUCCUAAUCUCAGCUACAAUUACUUGCUUUUUUUUUUUUUUUCUGCUCCGGUUUACACUACAAAUGUGCGAAAUCGGCACCUUCAGCUUGAUGGCACACGGUUCUCCUGCUCUCCUGGCGCUAAAAUAAGGGUCUUUCCUACAGCUGUGCAGAUUUCUUCAGUGGCAACGUACUGCUGCCUGCAACCAAGGCUGCCUUUUUGUGCAUCGUCCCAUUUAGUACUGGAGUCAUGCGGGAAGAAGGGGCUUCUGCCCGGCGCCCGUUCAGGUUCUCCUGCCGUGGGAAACUGCGGAGCUCUCGGCUCUGAAGGAGCCUCUAAGCUCGGAAUUUACCGCCCGCUUUUCCGUGCUCCUUUCUUGACGUCACACCUCAACGUGAGGCUCAGCACCGAAGCGGAAAAUAAAUUAAAAACAUAAAAAAAAAUCAAAAUAAAAUAAUGAGAAAGAAGAAAGCCCCCGCAGCAACCCCAGAACAAGAUACCUCCGGGCGGGGCUCCCCCGUCCGGGUGCGGAGCGAGGUCGGUCCCGUCCCGCCGGCACGUUUUAGGGUCGUUUUAAUCCGUCUGAACUUCGAAACAAAGCUGCUUCCCAGAGGAAAUUUCCACUGCUGCUGCUCUCCUGCACCAGAGGGCGCCGGGCUGCUUCCCAGGCCGCUGGCGAGGGCUGCCUUGCGAGAGCUGCGGCUGCGAGUUAACUCUUUCGGCUCUUCUGUUCUGGCUGAAAGGGUUUUUUCCCUUCCUUCUCUCUCUUUCUUUUUCUUUUUUUCUUCUCUUUCUUCCCCCCCCCAUGCGUGCUCUCGCAGUGCUGCAAGGGCUUCACCCUCCCUCAACAUCCCCCAUCAGCCUCAAGAGAUUUACAGCUCCUCUCUGUCUCAGCUAACUUGGUUCUAAUUAAGUCACUGGAUCACGUUUGCGUGACAUUACCGUGUUUUCCCUCGUAAUUGUCUGGGAUAAAAGUUUGUCUGGCUGCAUUGAAGCUUAAAGGGUCACUUAGGGCUCUUCAAACAGAGCAGCAACGAAGCACAACACCAAAGGAGUAAACACUCAUAAAGAUUUCACUCCGACACCUGUAUUAUUUAGGUUUGUGCCCAAGGGGUGCAAAGCCAGGCCCUCUGUAUUGAUGCUGCAUGCUCCCAGCUUUUUUUACGCUGAGACACAAGGAAAUUCAAAGCUAGGUUUCCCGUGGCAACUGGAACAGAGGUGGGUACAUCGCAUAUGUGUGUGAUGUUGUUUCCAUGCCUCAAUUACCAGCUCUGAUCGCUGGUGUUGGGUCCUUGUCAGCCUCAUCAUACAGCACGUGCACGUUGGUGACACUGCGCUGUGCCUUGUGCCUGCUCCUGAACAGCUGCAAGGCCGAAGGCCUCGAACAGUGGGGAUUGUAGGAUGAUUGUAGGAUGAGAGUGACUUUGGCCCAGACUACACAUAUUUCAGGAGGUUAUGGAAGACUAUGGAAACAGUGGAUUAGAAACACUAAGUUAUGGUGAAAGCAUUCCUUCUGUUUAUCUGCAUAUGUAAAUAUUGCUGCUCACACAGUUUUUAUGGCAAUUUGGGUUGAUUAUUCACCGUAAAAAAAAAAUCAGGGAUGCAAUCUAGAAGGUUUUUUUUUAGUGUAAUUUGUUUUAUGCAUAUGUCUAUGGUAUGUAUUUAUGUAUAAAUACUGGGCAGAAAUGAUAACAAAGAGCAGGUGGGCAAAUCCUUAUCAUUAUCAUAUUUAUUUAUUUCAGAAAUCCAUUUCCAAACAUCAUAAUCCGGAUUCAGAUGAGAAGUUGACUCGCAGAGUAUUCAGUGCUUGAAAUACAUGGGAAGCAAUUUAAAUGGCUAUCCGGUAACCCUUCCAUCUACUCUCUGAAGUAUGCUCAUGUAAAUACCACAAUGCAAGCAUUUCAGAAAGUACUCCCUACUUACACACUGAGGAGAAAAGAACACACAGGCCUGAAGGUCCAUAUCAGGUGACCUGUGUAUAUGAAGUAUACUAGCAUGUUAAAAAAUGCUCUGACAACUUCUUUUUUUAAGUAUAUCCUUUAGAAAACCUGUGUCUUUUCUUCAUUUGUGACCAAUAUAUAUUUGCUCCAUUUAGCAAUAAUGAUCUAGAUCAAGAACCCAUCUAGGCACCGUACAUACACACAAUAGAUAGUUUCCAACUGAGCUUAUAAUUCUAAAUAACUUGUCUUAAAAAUGGGAAGAGAAAUAAAGGUUUAUUUUUACCAUCUGAGAUCUGGGGGAAAAUUAAUUUCUUAAUAGCUAGUAACUAAAAAAAGUCACCAACUUCCCAGCUCACUGUCUUCAUUGAAAGCUUAGUUUUCCUUUAGUUCUCUUUAAAUACAUCAAACUAUGUAACUAACUGAGAAAUGCCAUUAUUUUCUGUCCCUAUAUUUUUCUUCAUUUUGGUUUCUAGGUGUGCCAACACAAAUGACUGAAAAGCAGCAGUUUGAGAUAAAUGCCUGCAUUCAGAUACAUCAAGGAGAUGCAGUUAGAAAGAUAGACAGCUGAGCAGUCUAUGGAAGUGAUAGCUGUUCACUUUGAGAACUGCUGUCCUGAUGUAGUUGGUAUGUUAAGAGAUGUCUGUCAAACUUAUGGGAAAAUACACCACUAAAAUGCAGUGGAGGACACUACAGAGAAAAUUCUGCUACCACAUAAAUACUUAGGGAAUAGCAGCAGAAUGAAUGCGUAAGACAGAGGAAAGGCAAAUUAAAAGUAUCAGAUGAAGGAAGAAGAAGCUAAAUAUUAAGACACGACAUUUCCAUGUUUCCUGUUACUUUUUUUUCAAGGA